CAAGAAUAUACAUCCAAUCACCGACAUCAAGCCAAUUUUAUUUACGCUAUAGUGAGUGCGUUCAACACAUAAGAGGAGCUAACCC
rnacentral:tRNA from 1 species